AUGAACGCUAGCUACAGGCUUAACACAUGCAAGUCGAGGGGCAGCAUGGUCUUAGCUUGCUAAGGCCGAUGGCGACCGGCGCACGGGUGAGUAACACGUAUCCAACCUGCCGUCUACUCUUGGACAGCCUUCUGAAAGGAAGAUUAAUACAAGAUGGCAUCAUGAGUCCGCAUGUUCACAUGAUUAAAGGUAUUCCGGUAGACGAUGGGGAUGCGUUCCAUUAGAUAGUAGGCGGGGUAACGGCCCACCUAGUCUUCGAUGGAUAGGGGUUCUGAGAGGAAGGUCCCCCACAUUGGAACUGAGACACGGUCCAAACUCCUACGGGAGGCAGCAGUGAGGAAUAUUGGUCAAUGGGCGAGAGCCUGAACCAGCCAAGUAGCGUGAAGGAUGACUGCCCUAUGGGUUGUAAACUUCUUUUAUAAAGGAAUAAAGUCGGGUAUGCAUACCCGUUUGCAUGUACUUUAUGAAUAAGGAUCGGCUAACUCCGUGCCAGCAGCCGCGGUAAUACGGAGGAUCCGAGCGUUAUCCGGAUUUAUUGGGUUUAAAGGGAGCGUAGAUGGAUGUUUAAGUCAGUUGUGAAAGUUUGCGGCUCAACCGUAAAAUUGCAGUUGAUACUGGAUAUCUUGAGUGCAGUUGAGGCAGGCGGAAUUCGUGGUGUAGCGGUGAAAUGCUUAGAUAUCACGAAGAACUCCGAUUGCGAAGGCAGCCUGCUAAGCUGCAACUGACAUUGAGGCUCGAAAGUGUGGGUAUCAAACAGGAUUAGAUACCCUGGUAGUCCACACGGUAAACGAUGAAUACUCGCUGUUUGCGAUAUACGGCAAGCGGCCAAGCGAAAGCGUUAAGUAUUCCACCUGGGGAGUACGCCGGCAACGGUGAAACUCAAAGGAAUUGACGGGGGCCCGCACAAGCGGAGGAACAUGUGGUUUAAUUCGAUGAUACGCGAGGAACCUUACCCGGGCUUAAAUUGCAGAUGAAUUACGGUGAAAGCCGUAAGCCGCAAGGCAUCUGUGAAGGUGCUGCAUGGUUGUCGUCAGCUCGUGCCGUGAGGUGUCGGCUUAAGUGCCAUAACGAGCGCAACCCUUGUUGUCAGUUACUAACAGGUUCUGCUGAGGACUCUGACAAGACUGCCAUCGUAAGAUGUGAGGAAGGUGGGGAUGACGUCAAAUCAGCACGGCCCUUACGUCCGGGGCUACACACGUGUUACAAUGGGGGGUACAGAGGGCCGCUACCACGCGAGUGGAUGCCAAUCCCAAAAACCUCUCUCAGUUCGGACUGGAGUCUGCAACCCGACUCCACGAAGCUGGAUUCGCUAGUAAUCGCGCAUCAGCCACGGCGCGGUGAAUACGUUCCCGGGCCUUGUACACACCGCCCGUCAAGCCAUGGGAGCCGGGGGUACCUGAAGUGCGUAACCGCGAGGAGCGCCCUAGGGUAAAACUGGUGACUGGGGCU
rnacentral:rRNA from 1 species